AGAAAAUUACUUCUCUAAAUACUCAACCACAUAAUCUUUAUCCAAACAUGAUAUACCACACUGUCAUGGUUGUAUGAUUUUUGGUUAUCAGUAUUCCACAUCACAACAUCAUGCAGUGUACUGGGAGUUAAAGAUCAAAUGCUUUAGUUCAGGUACCCGUCUGGAAGAGAAGAAGAACUACGUUCCCCAAGAGCCUUUUCGAGUACUGUUAUCUUUCCUGCUCAAGGGAACAGAUUUAAGGGCGCAGGUCAUCUGACUCGGCCUCUCUUCUCGUCUCGCUGUGUUCCCUGUCGGAUUGGCUCGCUACUGGUUCUCCCAACUGCACGCAAGGCUUCAGUAUUAGCAUCGUUGCCACUGUUUUUAAUUAUUUUGGGGUCCCCUGUUUCCCUUCCUGAAGGAGCGGAUUUUGCGAAAUCUCUCCACCCCACUAGUCAUGGAACCGGAACGGACCAGCCCUUAAACCAUUGACACACACAUACAAUAAGGCUGUCCUUUUUUUUCUGAGAGUAGGAAGACCCUUCAAGGGGAUCUGGACACACUGGAUCACUGGGCUGAGGCCAAUGGGAUGAAGUUCAACAAGACCAAGUAUAACUUGUCACAACAAUCCCAUGCAAUGCUACAGACUUGGGACAGAGUGGUUGAAAGACUGUGUGGAAGAAAUGGACCUAGGGGUGUUGUUUGAAACUUGGCUGAACAUGAGCCAGCAGUGUGCCCAUGCAACCACAAAGGCCAGUGGCAUCCUGACCUGCAUAAGCUCUCCUCUGGAUGUGCUCCAACAAGCCUAUGUCUCUCCUGUACUGAGGACUCCGUAUCUGGAUUUAGAACUCCAGCUGAGGUCUCACCAGCACAGAGUAGAGGGACAGAAUCAUCUCCCUCAACCUUCUUGUUUUGAUGCAGUUUCCUACAGAUGAUAUUGAUCUAUGAAAAAGGAGAAACUGGAAAAAGAAAUCCAAACUUGGUAGCAGAAGAAAGACAUAUAUAUGUAUAAUGUCAUGGUUUUAUGGUUUGUUAAUGGUAUUCCACAUUAGAACAUCAUGUAGUAUACUGGGAGCUAAUGAGUUAAUUCUACAGUUCCAUGGAUUGUUGCUAUUUCUGGACAUGUACAUAUAUAAUGAAUAUAAAAUUUGGAAAAUAGUUGUUCAUUUUGUCAGAAAAUAAUGAUGUAUGAAACUUUUGCUCAUUUUUAAUGGUUUAUAAGAAAUUGAACCUUCAAAAAUAUUUCAAUUAAUGUUAAAAUGACAACUAUUCAUGUUGUUAUAAGCGCUUCAGGUUAAACUGUUUGAAUCAUUAAGUAAGGAGGCUACAAUGAUUUUUAAGAAUGCUUGUGGCAGCGGGGGAAGAAAUAGUUAGACCUAGAGACUUUAAGGAUUAUAACAAGGAAAACUGCACAAAGAAGAAAAGCAAGUAAGUAAAAGAAGAAAGAAAUGCAUAGGAAAUAACAGAGAACUAAGACUAAGUUUAUUCAGAUAUGCUAGACUGUUCAGUAAAUACAAAGACAGGACUCAAUACAAAAUAGUAGUAAAUUGCCAAGUACAGUGAAAAAAAAAAAAAAAAAAAAAGUAAUCCUGCAGUAAUUUGGAGCAAAUUUCUAUAUGAGCUCUAGAGUAGGUGACUUCUUGUUACAGUAAUUAUUGAAUACAGCUCUUAUUACCAAAAUGAAGAAAAAUAUAUCUGUUAGCUGAUUUUAAAUGGAUUCUCAGGUAUGCAAACUUACACAAGAAAAAGAAAACAACAUCAUAAACUAUUUAAUAUGGAAAAAAUAACUUUUCAUUAUCAAUAGCAUCCUGAACAUCCACUUGUCAACAAAGAGUAGUUGAAGUAAAUGGCAGCAAUGUGGAAGAUACAUUAUUUGUUUGCCAGUCUCAUAUUAGAUAUUAAAUGUAAUAACAACGUUACCAUGUUUCUCACUGCAUUUGAAUAACAAAUCCAGAUAUGGCUGGAUUUCUGUGGGAGGACGGUGUCUGCUUCUCUCAUCCACUUACUACUCUGUUACUUUCCUAACUUCAAAUAAAUUUAUUUUAUCUAAUUAUUGAGUGUCUUUGUAAGAGAAAACCAUGUUACCUCAGUGUGGUAGAAACAGCGUGUUACCUCAGUGUGGAAGAAACAUACAAAUGGUACAAAUUGUACAAAAUUGUACAAAAAGUUGAAUAAAAUUGGGAAAUAAUUAGGUAGGGGGAAAAAAAGCAAAACCAAGUAAACAACAACAACAAAAAAGGAACAAAUAACUACUUGAGAUAACUGUACUG
ensembl:lncRNA